rnacentral:rRNA from 1 species
UACGUAGGUGGCAAGCGUUGUCCGGAUUUACUGGGCGUAAAGAGCGCGCAGGCGGUCGUUUAAGUCGAAUGUGAAAGCCCCCGGCUCAACUGGGGAGGGUCAUUCGAUACUGAUCGACUUGAAGGCAGGAGAGAGAAGUGGAAUUCCCGGUGUAGUGGUGAAAUGCGUAGAUAUCGGGAGGAACACCAGUGGCGAAGGCGGCCUACUGGGCCGGACCUGACGCUGAGACGCGAAGGCGUGGGGGAGCGAACGGGG